AUUGAACGCUGGCGGCAGGCCUAACACAUGCAAGUCGAGCGGAUGAAGGGAGCUUGCUCCUGGAUUCAGCGGCGGACGGGUGAGUAAUGCCUAGGAAUCUGCCUGGUAGUGGGGGAUAACGUCCGGAAACGGGCGCUAAUACCGCAUACGUCCUGAGGGAGAAAGUGGGGGAGCUUCGGACCUCACGCUAUCAGAUGAGCCUAGGUCGGAUUAGCUAGUUGGUGGGGUAAAGGCCUACCAAGGCGACGAUCCGUAACUGGUCUGAGAGGAUGAUCAGUCACACUGGAACUGAGACACGGUCCAGACUCCUACGGGAGGCAGCAGUGGGGAAUAUUGGACAAUGGGCGAAAGCCUGAUCCAGCCAUGCCGCGUGUGUGAAGAAGGUCUUCGGAUUGUAAAGCACUUUAAGUUGGGAGGAAGGGCAGUAAGUUAAUACCUUGCUGUUUUGACGUUACCAAAAGAAUAAGCACCGGCUAACUUCGUG
rnacentral:rRNA from 1 species